UCUGACUGUGCAAAGGUAGCAUAAUCAUUUGCCUUUUAAUUAAAGGCUUGUAUGAAUGGUUGAACGAAAUACAAACUGUCUCACUCUAAAAAAUUUAAAAAUUUAGCUUUCAAGUCAAAAGGCUUGAAUAAUAUUAGAGGACGAGAAGACCCUAUAGAACUUUAUAAUAUUUUUUGUGAAUUUACAUAGUAAAAUAUUUUUUAUUUAUAAAUAUUAUUAUUUUGUUGGGGUGACAGGAAAAUAAGUAAAACUUUUUUGAAUUUUGAACAUUGAUUUAUGAAUAUUUGAUCCAUUAUUAGUGAUUAUUAGAAUAAGUUACCUUAGGGAUAACAGCGUAAUUUUGUUGGAGAGUUCAAAUCGAUAACAAAGUUUGCGACCUCGAUGUUGAAUUAAAGAAAUUUUAGAGUGCAGAAGCUUUAAGUAAUAGGUCUGUUCGACCUUUAAAUCUUUACAUGAUCUGAGU
rnacentral:rRNA from 1 species